AACGAACGCUAGCGGUGUGGAUUAGGCAUGCAAGUCGCGCGCGAAAGCCUUCGGGCGGGUAAAGCGGCGAAAGGGUGAGUAACACGUAACCAACGUACCCCUCAGACUGGGAUAACCACUGGAAACGGUGGAUAAUACCGGAUGGUCCACUGGGCAGCAUUGCCUGGCUGGUAAACGGCGGCCGCAAGGCGGUUGCUGAGGGAGCGGGUUGCGGCCUAUCAGCUUGUUGGUGAGGUAACGGCUCACCAAGGCUAUGACGGGUAACAGGUCUGAGAGGAUGAUCUGUCACACUGGGACUGAGACACUGCCCAGACUCCUACGGGAGGCUGCAGUCGAGAAUCUUCCACAAUGGGCGAAAGCCUGAUGGAGCGACACCGCGUGCAGGAUGAAGGCC
rnacentral:rRNA from 1 species